GUGCUCGCUUUGGCAGCACAUAUACUAAAAUUGGAAUGAUACAGAGAAGAUUAGCAUGGCCCCUGCACAAGGGAGACUACCAGCAAGAAAGCCAUUGCCAGAUGUA